rnacentral:rRNA from 1 species
UACGAAGGGGGCUAGCGUUGUUCGGAAUUACUGGGCGUAAAGCGCGUGUAGGUGGAUUGGUGUGUCAGAUGUGAAAGCCCUGGGCUCAACCCAGGAACAGCACCUGAAACUACCAGUCUUGAGUGGUGGAGAGGGAAGUGGAAUUCCUGGUGUAGAGGUGAAAUUCGUAGAUAUCAGGAGGAACACCAGUGGCGAAGGCGGCUUCCUGGACACCAACUGACGCUGAGACGCGAAAGCGUGGGGAGCAAACAGG